rnacentral:rRNA from 1 species
UACGUAGGCAGCGAGCGUUGUUCGGAGUUACUGGGCGUAAAGGGUGUGUAGGCGGUUUUCUAAGUUUGGUGUGAAAUCUCCCGGCUCAACCGGGAGGGUGCGCCGAAAACUGGGAGACUAGAGUGCGGGAUGGGAGAGUAGAAUUCCUGGUGUAGCGGUGAAAUGCGUAGAUAUCUGGAGGAACACCGGUGGCGAAGGCGGCAUCCUGGACCAACACUGACGCUGAGUGAGCGAAAGCCAGGGGAGCAAACGGG